rnacentral:rRNA from 1 species
UAGUAUAGGAUAGCCACUAGAAAUGGUGGGUAAUACUGUAUAAUCCCUGCGGGGGAAAGAUUUAUCGCUACUAGAUGAGCCUAUGUCAGAUUAGCUAGUUGGUGGGGUAAUGGCCCACCAAGGCUGUGAUCUGUAGCUGGUCUGAGAGGAUGAUCAGCCACACUGGAACUGAGACACGGUCCAGACUCCUACGGGAGGCAGCAGUGGGGAAUAUUGGACAAUGGGCGCAAGCCUGAUCCAGCUAUGCCGCGUGAGUGAGGAAGGCCUUAGGGUUGUAAAACUCUUUCAGUAGGGAAGAUAAUGACGGUACCUACAGAAGAAGUCCCGGCAAACUCCGUGCCAGCAGCCGCGGUAAUACGGAGGGGGCAAGCGUUGUUCGGAAUUAUUGGGCGUAAAGGGCAUGUAGGCGGUUUGGUAAGUUAAAGGUGAAAUACCAGGGCUUAACCCUGGGGCUGCUUUUA